CCCUGGGAGCAGCACUGCUAUCAUGGAACAUGUGAGAUGAGGGGCUACUCACUUUUGACAGAUUUUUCCUGAAAGUGUGGAUUAAGACAAAAAUGCUGAGGACAGGACACUGACAAUGGAUGACAUUGCUGUUUUUACUGGAAUGAGGUCAUGAUGGCGUAGUUGAGGAGUACUGUCAGUCCAAAUCAUUUGCAGAUGACACUUUUGAGUGAAUAUGGAAUCAGUAGAAAGAAAAGGCCUGUACAAAAAGACCAUAUGAAAGUCAUGGCUUGGAGAAGAAUAAGGAGUCAUAUGAUGCUUUUUUAUUGCACUAUUGGGAAAGAAACUUAGUUUUGACCUGGAGGAAGCCAGAUGUUCAGAUGUUUGUUUCCAUGGAUUUAAUUUUUUAAUAUUCACUUCAUAACUUUAUGACUUUUGCUAACCUUUUUUCUGGAUAUGGAGGCUGCCUUGUAACAGUGAUAUGGAUAAAGUCAUCAGGUGGAUGGGUACCUGCGUGGUGAAUGGAGGUCAGGUGGAAGAUCCUGCUCUUCUGUUUCGUCCUCUAGUGCUGUGGUCUGGUUACUGGUGUGGAGAAAAGGGUCAAAAUCCAGCAGGUUCUGUCAUGGCAAAUUCCCUCCCCUAUCAUACAAUGCUACCAAACUGAGAGGGUGAAGGCUGAAAUAAAGCACAUGCUCCCUCUGAAUCACCUGACGUCACCGCAUCUUUUCCAGCUGCCACUAACUCAUCUUCACUGGAAAGCUCAACAUGCUUGGAGGAGAACACUAUCCGCCAAACUUAACAGAUGCCCAUGUUGGUUAGCACUGCGCUUAGUGAUGGCCAGAGAGGGAGUGCCGUCCUGUUCAUCCAGGGAGAGGACUCCCAGCAACGGAUGACUGGGGCAUCGCUG